rnacentral:lncRNA from 1 species
AUCUUUUGUGCAAAAAAUUACUUCUGCCUCAGCCACAAAAGUCAGUCAAGCAACUGUGUAUUCACAAGCAACAGUGGGAACAAUUCAAAAACAGACGACUCCUCCAACCAAGGAGGUCAAUCAAACAACUGCGCAUUCUCAACCAACAGCGGAAACAAUUCAGAAACAGACUCUUACUCCAACCAAGGAGGUCAGUCAAACAACUGCGCAUUCCCAACCAACAGUGGCAACAAUUCAAAAACUGACUUCUCUUCCAACUAAGGGGGUCAGUCAAACAAAUGCGCAUUCCCAACCAACAGCGGAAACAAUGCAAAAAGUGACUCCCCCUCCAACCAAUGAGGUCAGUCGCACAACUGCGCAUUCCCAAGCAACUGCAGAAACAAUUCAAAAGCCAACUCCUCCAACCAAGGAGGUCAGUCCGACAACUGUGUGUUCCCAAGCAACAGCAGAAACAAUUCAAAAGCUGACUCCUCCAACCCAGGAGGUCAGUCAAACAACUGNGCAUUCCCAAGCAUCAGCAGAAACAAUUCAAAAGAUGACUCCUCCUCCAACCAAGGAGGUCAGUCCAACAACUGUGCAGUCACAAACAAUGGCAGAACCUGCUCAAAAACUGACUUCCGCUCAAGGCAAGGAAGUCACACAAGGAAUUCCACAACCAUCAGCCACGGCAGAACCGACACAGACACUGACUUCCCUUCCAUCAAAGGAAGUCACCCAAACGGAUAACAAAUCAACUGUAGGGAAAAUAAUUUUAAUGGAAUCCACCAAUUCCCAUAAUACAACAAUCUAUGAGACCACUGCAAUUCUGCCAGUUGCUGCAGAACCCACACAAAAAGUGACUUCUCUUCCACCAGAGGAUGUCACUCAAGUGAAUGAAUCAUCUUCUGCAGGGAAGAUAAUUUUAAUGGAAUCCAACAAUUUCCAUAGAACCACAGUCUAUGAAACAACAACAGCUUCCUCAGCCACUGAAGAACCAACACAAAAAGUGACCACCCUUCCAUCAGAGGAUGUCACUGAAACAAAUGAUUUAUCUUUUGAAGGGAAUAACAUUUUAAAGGAAUCCAACAAUUCAAAUAAAACAAUUGACGAUUCAAGUACAACUCUAUCGGCCACUGAAGACCACACAGAAAAAN